UAGGUCUUCUGACAAAGGACAGAUUAAAGACCUUGGAAAACAGGCAGAAGGAUUUCGAGUUCAUUCAGAAGAUGGUGGAAAUUCUAGGACAGAAAAAUGAUCAAUUUGGAAGAUUGAGAAUGAGAACAGAUAAAGAAAACCUGAAGGAAAGGCACCAGGCCUGGAACAUAUACUUGAUGUGGAUAGAAGCCAUCCAGUCAUUCUUUCCAAGUCCUUGCUGCAUCCAG
rnacentral:lncRNA from 1 species